rnacentral:rRNA from 1 species
UACGUAGGGUGCGAGCGUUGUCCGGAAUUAUUGGGCGUAAAGAGCUCGUAGGCGGUGUGUCGCGUCGGCCGUGAAAACCUGGGGCUCAACUCCGGGCGUGCGGUCGAUACGGGCAUCACUUGAGUUCGGCAGGGGAGACUAGAAUUCCUGGUGUAGCGGUGAAAUGCGCAGAUAUCAGGAGGAACACCGGUGGCGAAGGCGGUUCUCUGGGCCUGUACUGACGCUGAGGAGCGAAAGCGUGGGGAGCGAACAGG